CCUACGGGUGGCAGCAGUGGGGGAUAUUGCACAAUGGGGGAAACCCUGAUGCAGCGACGCCGCGUGAGUGAAGAAGUCUUUCGGUAUGUAAAGCUCUAUCAGCAGGGAAGAAAAUGACAGUACCUGACCAAGAAGCCCCGGCUAACUCCGUGCCAGCCGCCGCGGUAAAACGUAGGGGGCAGGCGUUAUCCGGAUUUACUGGGUGUAAAGGGGGCGUAGACGGUUAUGUAAGUCUGGAGUGAAAGCCCGGGGCCCAACCCCGGGACUGCUUUGGAAACUGUGUAACUGGAGUACAGGAGGGGCAGGCGGAAUUCGUGGUGUAGCGGUGAAAUGCGUAGAUAUCAGGAGGAACACCGGCGGCGAAGGCGGCAUGCUGGACUGAAACUGACGUUGAGGCUCGAAAGCGUGGGGAGCAAACAGGAUUAGAUACCCCGGUAGUC
rnacentral:rRNA from 1 species